rnacentral:misc_RNA from 1 species
GAUGAAGAACGUAGCGAAAUGCGAUAAGUAAUGUGAAUUGCAGAAUUCAGUGAACCAUCGAAUCUUUGAACGCACAUUGCGCCCCUUGGUAUUCCGAGGGGCAUGCCUGUUCGAGCGUCAUUAUAACCCCUCAAGCUCAGCUUGGUGUUGGGGCCUGCUGCACUGGCAGCCCUUAAAAUCAGUGGCGGCGCCAUCUGGCUCUAAGCGUAGUAAUUCUUCUCGCUAUGGAGUCCUGGUGGAUGCUUGCCAUCAACCCCCAAUUUUUCUAUGGUUGACCUCGGAUCAGGUAGGGAUACCCGCUGAACUUAAGCAUAUCAAUAAGCGGAGGA